rnacentral:rRNA from 1 species
ACUGCUCAGUAACACGUGGACAACCUAACCUACAGAGGGGGAUAACCCCGGGAAACUGGGGAUAAUACCCCAUAGACUAUGGAUGCUGGAAUGCUUCGUAGUUGAAAGGUCCGCCGCUGUAGGAUGGGUCCGCGGCCGAUUAGGUUGUUGUUGGGGUAACGGCCCAACAAGCCUGUAAUCGGUACGGGUUGUGGGAGCAAGAGCCCGGAGAUGGAUUCUGAGACACGAAUCCAGGCCCUACGGGGCGCAGCAGGCGCGAAAACUUUGCAAUGCGGGAAACCGUGACAAGGGAACUCUGAGUGCCCGUUAAAUCGGGCUGUCCAUCGGUUUAAAUAACCGGUGAAGAAAGGGCCGGGCAAGACCGGUGCCAGCCGCCGCGGUAAUACCGGCGGCUCGAGUGGUGGCCACUAUUACUGGGCUUAAAGCGUUCGUAGCUGGUUUGUUAAGUCUCUGGGGAAAUCUUCCGGCUUAACCGGAAGGCGUCUCAGGGAUACUGGCAGACUAGGGACCGGGAGAGGUGAGAGGUACUCCAGGGGUAGGAGUGAAAUCCUGUAAUCCUUGGGGGACCACCUGUGGCGAAGGCGUCUCACCAGAACGGCUCCGACAGUGAGGGACGAAAGCUGGGGGAGCAAACCGGAUUAGAUACCCGGGUAGUCCCAGCUGUAAACGAUGCGCGUUAGGUGUAUCGGUGACCACGAGUCACCGAGGUGCCGAAGAGAAAUCGUGAAACGUGCCGCCUGGGAAGUACGGUCGCAAGGCUGAAACUUAAAGGGAUUUGGCGGGGGAGCAC